UUUAGGUGCUAGUUCAGGGAUAGGUAGAGCCACUGCUGUGUUGUUCUCACGCCUGGGAGCGAGGCUAGCUCUGACUGGAAGGAACCAAGAAAAUUUGACAAAAUCUGCUGAAGAAUGUGAAACAGCUUCACCUUAUAAUCUAAAGCCUUUGUGUAUCGUCGGUGAUGUAACCAUAGAAUCCGAUAUUGAUCGGAUUAUGAAGUCAACAAUUGACACCUAUGGAAGACUGGAUAUUCUGGU